GUGGGGAAUAUUGGGCAAUGGGGGAAACCCUGACCCAGCAACGCCGCGUGAAGGAAGAAGGUCUUCGGAUCGUAAACUUCUAUCCUUGGUGAAGAUAAUGACGGUAGCCGAGAAGGAAGCCCCGGCUAACUACGUGCCAGCAGCCGCGGUAAUACGUAGGGGGCAAGCGUUGUCCGGAAUGAUUGGGCGUAAAGGGCGCGUAGGCGGCCCGGUAAGUCUGAAGUGAAAGUCCUGCUUUUAAGGUGGGAAUUGCUUUGGAUACUGUCGGGCUUGAGUGCAGGAGAGGUAAGCGGAAUUCCCGAUGUAGCGGUGAAAUGCGUAGAGAUCGGGAGGAACACCAGUGGCGAAGGCGGCUUACUGGACUGUAACUGACGCUGAGGCGCGAAAGUGUGGGGAGCAAACAGGAUUAGAAACCCGGGUAGUCC
rnacentral:rRNA from 1 species